GUCAGUGUAGCUCAGUUAAUAAGACUGAUAAUCAAGAUUACAUAUAUUAGAGAUGUAUGAGUUCAAAUCUCAUCACUGACA
rfam:Blastomyces gilchristii SLH14081 genomic scaffold supercont1.16, whole genome shotgun sequence.